UGAGGAAUUUUGCGCAAUGGGGGAAACCCUGACGCAGCAACGCCGCGUGAGUGAUGAAGGCUUUCGAGUCGUAAAGCUCUGUCGAGUGGGAAGAAGUCAUGCAUGGCCAAUAUCCAUGUAUGUUGACGGUACCACUGAAGGAAGCACCGGCUAACUCCGUGCCAGCAGCCGCGGUAAUACGGGGGGUGCAAGCGUUACUCGGAAUCAUUGGGCGUAAAGGGCGCGUAGGCGGCCUGUUCAGUCAGAUGUGAAAGCCCGGGGCUCAACCCCGGAAGAGCAUUUGAUACUGUCAGGCUUGAGUAUGGGAGAGGAAAGUGGAAUUCCUGGUGUAGAGGUGAAAUUCGUAGAUAUCAGGAGGAACACCGGUGGCGAAGGCGACUUUCUGGACCAAUACUGACGCUGAGGCGCGAAGGCGUGGGGAGCAAACA
rnacentral:rRNA from 1 species